rnacentral:rRNA from 1 species
CACCUCUAGCAUUACUAGUAUUAGAGGCACUGCCUGCCCAGUGACAUUAGUUAAACGGCCGCGGUAUCCUGACCGUGCAAAGGUAGCAUAAUCAUUUGUUCUUUAAAUAGGGACUUGUAUGAACGGCCACACGAGGGUUCUACUGUCUCUUGCUUCCAAUCAGUGAAAUUGACCUCCCCGUGCAGAGGCGGGGAUACACAAAUAAGACGAGAAGACCCUAUGGAGCUUUAAUUAACUAACUCAAAGAAAACAUAAAUAACCGCCAAGGGAUAAUAAUCUUCUACCUGAGUUAGCAAUUUCGGUUGGGGUGACCUCGGAGAACAGAAAAACCCCCGAGUGACUAAAAUCUAGACUUACCAGUCAAAAUGUAGUGUCACUUAUUGAUCCAAAAUAUUUGAUCAACGGAACAAGUUACCCUAGGGAUAACAGCGCAAUCCUAUUCAAGAGUUCAUAUCGACAAUAGGGUUUACGACCUCGAUGUUGGAUCAGGACACCCCAAUGGUGCAGCCGCUAUUAAAGGUUCGUUUGUUCAACGAUUAAAGUCCU